AGAGUUUGAUUCUGGCUCAGGAUGAACGCUGGCGGCGUGCCUAACACAUGCAAGUCGAACGGGACUGAUUCCUUGGAGAUUCGUCAAAGAGGAUGAAAGUUUAGUGGCGGACGGGUGAGUAACGCGUGGGUAACCUGCCUCAUAGAGGGGGGACAACAGCUGGAAACGGCUGCUAAUACCGCAUAAGCCCACACUGCCGCAUGGCAGAGGGGGAAAAGAUUUAUCGCUAUGAGAUGGACCCGCGUUUGAUUAGCUAGUUGGCGGUGUAACGGACCACCAAGGCGACGAUCAAUAGCCGGACUGAGAGGUUGAACGGCCACAUUGGGACUGAGACACGGCCCAAACUCCUACGGGAGGCAGCAGUGGGGAAUAUUGCACAAUGGGGGAAACCCUGAUGCAGCGACGCCGCGUGGGUGAAGAAGUUUUUCGGAAUGUAAAGCCCUAUCAGCAGGGAAGAUAAUGACGGUACCUGACUAAGAAGCCCCGGCUAACUACGUGCCAGCAGCUGC
rnacentral:rRNA from 1 species